rnacentral:rRNA from 1 species
CAGCACCUCAAGUGGUCAGGAUGAUUAUUGGGCCUAAAGCAUCCGUAGCCGGCGCUGUAAGUUUUCGGUUAAAUCUGUACGCUCAACGUACAGGCUGCCGGGAAUACUGCAGCGCUAGGGAGUGGGAGAGGUAGACGGUACUCGGUAGGAAGGGGUAAAAUCCUUUGAUCUAUUGAUGACCACCUGUGGCGAAGGCGGUCUACCAGAACACGUUCGACAGUGAGGGAUGAAAGCUGGGGAAGCAAACCGGAUUAGAUACCCGAGUAGUCC